rnacentral:misc_RNA from 1 species
CGAUCUAUAAUUUUUGAUAUCACAAAGAAAUCAAUAGAGCCAGAGGUGCUUUUGUAUGAUGAGCCAACUGCUGGACUUGAUCCAAUUGCAUCGACUGUAGUUGAAGAUCUUAUUCGUUCUGUCCAUAUGAUAGGAGAGGAUGCACUGGGGAAGCCAGGGAAAAUUGCAUCUUAUGUGGUUGUUACUCAUCAGCAUAGUACCAUUAGGAGGGCUGUUGACAGGUUGUUGUUUCUUUAUAAAGGAAAGAUCGUUUGGCAAGGGAUGACUCAUGAAUUCACCACAUCAAGCAAUCCAAUUGUUCAACAGUUUGCAUCAG